rnacentral:rRNA from 1 species
CAAUAGCGUAUAUUAAAGUUGUUGCGGUAAAAAAGCUCGUAGUUGGAUUUCUGUUGAGGGUGACCGGUCCGCACCAUGUGCGCGCAUCUGGUUCAGCCUCGGCAUCCUCUCGAUAGACGUUUCUGCGCUUUGUUGCGUGGAGCGGAUUUCGGGACUUUUACUUUGAGGAAAUUAGAGUGUUCACGGCAGGCUAUCGCCAGAAUACAUUAGCAUGGAAUAAUACUAUAGGAUCUUGAGCCUAUUUUGUUGGUUUCUAGACUUGAGAUAAUGAUUAAUAGGGACAAUUGGGGGCAUUCGUAUCAACACGUCAGAGGUGGAAUUCUUGGAUUGUGUUGCGACGAACUACUGCGAAAGCAUUUGCCAAGGAUGUUUUCAUUGAUCAAGAACGAAAGUAAGGGGAUCGAAGACGAUCAGAUACCAU